CUUUUUCUUUUUCAUUGUUCAGUUAGCCUUCAACUUGGGGUCCAAACUCAGCCUUCAAAUAUAUUUUAGCUUGUCAAAUGUACUUUUAUCUAUAACUACAGAGAGAGAGAAGUGUAGCGACAAUAAGCACCAUUUUGCAGGUUUGCUGAGAUCAGAAUAAAUUAUGUUCACUUUUAGCUCAGCAAAUAAAGAAAGUUCGAACUUUCAAAACUUAGCAAUCAACAUGACUAUAAGAAUGUGCCUGAACCCAGACAUGAAACAUCUUGGCACGACAAAGAAGUUAUAUCGUGGCAUGCUCAUGAACACUGAAGUCUUUGUCCUAUGCAGAUGCUAUAUUAAUGGUGCUUGGGUGACCGCCGGUGGAUUUAUUAUGAUGGGGACCGGCACAGAAGCAGUUGAACAAGGACCAAUUCGAAACCUUAGGAACUAGUCCAAAUUCAAAUCUUUUUCACCUAAGUCUUGAUUGGUCGAUUCACUGAACCGAAACUGCAAGUUGAAUGAACAGAUCCAGUUUAGUGAACCGGACACUCCUAUUAUAACAGGUCAAGUUUCAAACUUUAAUAUUCUGUCUCCUUUAAGCAUCUUCAAACAGCAAUAUUAAGAAUGGAAGCAUAAAAAAUAGAAUAGUUGGGUUUUAGUGGGAAUCCUUAACUAUUUUGCAUCAAAGAGGAGAAAAUGAUCUAAUUUUAAGCAUGUUUAAUUGCGUGUAUUCAUAAAUUUUAGUAGAAUCAUUUAAUUUUCAACUUGUGUAAGUAAAAUCUCCCAACUAAGCUUUGGGUUCUUGCAUUUUUUGGGAAUCUCAACUACUUUUCUUCAACGUAAUGGAGUUUUAAAUGAGAAA